rnacentral:snRNA from 1 species
GAGAGAAGCGUCUCAUCGAUGU